UUGAUGGCGAGUGGCGAACGGGUGAGUAAUGCAUCGGAACGUGCCCUGUAGUGGGGGAUAACUAGUCGAAAGAUUAGCUAAUACCGCAUACGACCUGAGGGUGAAAGUGGGGGACCGCAAGGCCUCAUGCUAUAGGAGCGGCCGAUGUCUGAUUAGCUAGUUGGUGAGGUAAAGGCUCACCAAGGCGACGAUCAGUAGCUGGUCUGAGAGGACGAUCAGCCACACUGGGACUGAGACACGGCCCAGACUCCUACGGGAGGCAGCAGUGGGGAAUUUUGGACAAUGGGCGAAAGCCUGAUCCAGCAAUGCCGCGUGUGUGAAGAAGGCCUUCGGGUUGUAAAGCACUUUUGUCCGGAAAGAAAUGGCUCUGGUUAAUACCUGGGGUCGAUGGCGGUACCGGAAGAAUAAGGACCGGCUAACUACGUGCCAGCAGCCGCGGUAAUACGUAGGGUCCAAGCGUUAAUCGGAAUUACUGGGCGUAAAGCGUGCGCAGGCGGUUGUGCAAGACCGAUGUGAAAUCCCCGAGCUUAACUUGGGAAUUGCAUUGGUGACUGCACGGCUAGAGUGUGUCAGAGGGGGGUAGAAUUCCACGUGUAGCAGUGAAAUGCGUAGAGAUGUGGAGGAAUACCGAUGGCGAAGGCAGCCCCCUGGGAUAACACUGACGCUCAUGCACGA
rnacentral:rRNA from 1 species